GAUGAACGCUGGCGGCGUGCCUAAUACAUGCAAGUCGAGCGAACAGACGAGGAGCUUGCUCCUCUGACGUUAGCGGCGGACGGGUGAGUAACACGUGGAUAACCUACCUAUAAGACUGGGAUAACUUCGGGAAACCGGAGCUAAUACCGGAUAAUAUAUUGAACCGCAUGGUUCAAUAGUGAAAGACGGUUUUGCUGUCACUUAUAGAUGGAUCCGCGCCUCAUUAGCUAGUUGGUAAGGUAACCGCUUACCAAGGCGACGAUGCGUAGCCGACCUGAGAGGGUGAUCGGCCACACUGGAACUGAGACACGGUCCAGACUCCUACGGGAGGCAGCAGUAGGGAAUCUUCCGCAAUGGGCGAAAGCCUGACGGAGCAACGCCGCGUGAGUGAUGAAGGUCUUCGGAUCGUAAAACUCUGUUAUUAGGGAAGAAUAAAUGUGUAAGUAACUAUGCACGUCUUGACGGUACCUAAUCAGAAAGCCACGGCUAACUACGUG
rnacentral:rRNA from 1 species